ACUUGGAUUGUCGCUAAGUUUGUCUCACUAA
rnacentral:piRNA from 1 species